rnacentral:tRNA from 1 species
UGUGUGUUAGCUUAAUAGGUAGAGCUUUGUGCUACGGACACAAGGGUACAAGUUCGAAUCUUGUACUCACUUU